rnacentral:rRNA from 1 species
AUUGAACGCUGGCGGCAUGCUUUACACAUGCAAGUCGAACGGCAGCGCGGGCUUUGGCCUGGCGGCGAGUGGCGAACGGGUGAGUAAUACAUCGGAACGUGCCCAGUAGUGGGGGAUAGCUCGGCGAAAGCCGGAUUAAUACCGCAUACGACCUGAGGGUGAAAGCGGGGGAUCUUCGGACCUCGCGCUAUUGGAGCGGCCGAUGGCAGAUUAGCUAGUUGGUGGGGUAAAGGCCUACCAAGGCGACGAUCUGUAGCUGGUCUGAGAGGACGACCAGCCACACUGGGACUGAGACACGGCCCAGACUCCUACGGGAGGCAGCAGUGGGGAAUUUUGGACAAUGGGCGAAAGCCUGAUCCAGCAAUGCCGCGUGUGUGAUGAAGGCCUUCGGGUUGUAAAGCACUUUUGGCGGGAACGAAAAGGACUGUGCCAAUACCACGGUUCGAUGACGGUACCCGCAGAAUAAGCACCGGCUAACUACGCG